rnacentral:lncRNA from 1 species
UAGCUUCUAAUUGUGUGUACUACUGCUUUCCAGGUGGACUUUUGCAUUGGUUUUGGUCUACUUUGCUGUAUGUACAACAUUGUAUUUCCUCCCUUUCCAAGACUCGUGCUAGUACUCUUCAUAUCAUGCGCUAAAUAAGAUUAUAUUCGGUUGACAUUUUAUUUAGGAUAUUGCUGCGUUUCAAUGGUAACUUGUACAUGCAGAUUGGUACUGUUGUAUCUGCCCGGGGAUGUUGGAUUUACUCGAGAAGACCUUUCUCUCAGAGUGGGGAAAGGGAUAAAUUUCUCAAAAAGGAGUCAGAAGAU